CUCCCUCUCUCAGGAUCUGUACUUCAUUUCUUCCUGUAUGCUCUAGUUUUCUUUAAAACAUAAGACAAAGUAGGGACUAUUUCUCUUCUGGAGGUUUCCUACGCCAUGACCAGCUAUGACCAGCGGAGGAGCAAAGUGUGUCUCUUUUCCGGUGGUCAGAGCAAUUUUCCCAUGAUCCUUUGCUUUCCUCCCUGUUCUCACGAUGCCUUCUGUCAGUAUUGCCGAAC